rnacentral:misc_RNA from 1 species
CAGAGUUCAUGCCCUCACGGGUAGAUCUCCCACCCUUGAAUAUUUUAUACCUUUGUUGCUUUGGCGGGCCGCUUCGGCUACCGGCUUCGGCUGGUGAGUGCCCGCCAGAGGACCCCAAACUCUUGUUUUAUACAGUAUCUUCUGAGUAACACGAUUAAAUAAAUCA